rnacentral:lncRNA from 1 species
GCCCCGGGAUGGGUCCCUGAGACCUGGGAAAGUAGGAGCUCUGUGGGAUAGUGCGUCAGAGUCGGGGUUCAGACCAGUCCUGGCCAGGGAAGUUAACACCGCGGUCUCCGGAGCCCGGGAUUCGCGGAAGGUACACCACCAGGAAAAAACAACAGCAGCAAGAAAUCUCAGACAGAUCGCCGGGGAGGCAGCGCGGGAAUCCAGCCUCAGGAGUGCGCGGACGGUGUGCCGGUGGAAACCCCCUUCCCAUGGGGUGAAGCGCAGUCUGCUCCAGAGACCCACUGUUAGGGUCGGGGAUGUCACAGAAAUUAACAGGGCAGCCAAUUCCCAUCCAGAGGGGCCCAGGAUGACCCCGAACCCUCUAGCUCAGCCCCAAGCUCGGGCCAGGGAGUGAAGCCUUUGUCCCCAAGCAACAGAGUGAGGGUCUGUCUCUAACCCGGUGGGCUCCAGUGAAAGGAAAAUGGCCUGGAGGUGCCCACAGGAGGGCGCCCUAGUUCUGAGACAGGUCUACGGCUCCCAGACUGUGUCCCCAUGAGUAACAGAGGGACACGCAGAGGGGCAUACUGAGUGCCUAUAGGGGACUCACAGACUGCAGAUGCACGCUGCGGAUCCAGAAGCCGGUCAGCGCACACAACCAAGCUUAGGAGCCGACUGUUAAGAUGCCCCAGUGACACGGACAAGUUUCUCCUCUGCAACCCAAUGAGAGCUGCUGACCACGAGAGCAUCGCGGGACCGCCAAAGGAUUCUGGAAAAUGUGGUCCCGGGUGGCCAGUGUGCGCUGACCUUCACCUGAAGGUACGGCUUGAAGGAAACUUCUGGAGGGUGGGGUGGUGUUGAAGAGAAGGCACAAUUGUCACCAUUUUGUUCAACAUGGGCGUUUUCUUUGUGCAUUGAUUUGCAUUUUUAAAGGUAUUCCAUUAAAAA